AUGGCUUCCAACGUGCCAGUCAAGAAAAGCAGAUUGGGUAAAAACAAGAAGAAAGCGUGGAAGGCUAUCGACAUAACAGAAGUAGAGGAUGUUUUGGAAGAUGAACGAAUGCAAGAAAGAACAGGGGGUCUGGUUGCUGAGAAGUCAGAUGACCAGUUGUUUAUGGUUGACAAAGAUGCCUUUGAUCCAAAAGAAAACGACUCAAAAUAUGAAAAGAGAAAGAGAAAAAGAGCACUAAAAUGUCACUCCAACCUUGAACCAGAUCCCAACAUUAAGCCUAUAUCUAUUUCACACAAUGUAAGGAAAGUACAGCCAGAGGUAGAGAGACUCAGCAGAAGGAUAAAAAGUGGUAAAAAAACAUUAACAGAGAUAAAAGCAGAAAAGCAGCGUAAAGUUAGAAACAAACAACGGGCAGAGGCUCGGAGAAACAAGAAUAAGACACCUGUAGCAGACUUUGACCUAUGGGAGACAGAUGUAAACGCUGAUAUUAGUAAGGAAGAUCCUCAUUUUUGUGUGGUGACAAAGAAGAGAAGAAUUAAUGUGCCGAGACAUUACCAUCAAAAGCCAUCUGAAAUGUCAAGUAUACAGGUUCCAGACCCAGGAGCAUCCUACAAUCCCUCAUACGAUGAUCACCAGAACUUGCUAGCCAAGGCCCAUGAUGUGGAGGUUAAGCGAGAGAAGAAAGAGAAGAAAUUAUACAAUGCUGUUGAGGCUAAAUUCAGGACCAUAUCAGCUGCAGAGUUAGAGGAAAAUCUGAGGGCAGAAAUGACAUCAGGACUUAAUGAGGAAGAGGACGAGAAGGUAGAGUUUACAGAGGAGGAGCUGGAAAAACUGUCUGUAGCACCACCUGUCCGCAGAGAGGACAAGAAAACAAAGGUCCAGAGAAACAAGGAGAAAAAUGUCAAAGAAAAGGAACACAGUAAAUUAAAAGAUAAAACAGCCAAAUCAAGAGAAAAAGAUAUAUUUAGGUUGAAGACAAUUAAAGCUGAAAUAAAGACCAGGGAAAGGGAUCUGUCAGAGAGAGCGAGACAGAAGAAAGAGAAAUAUAACAAGUCAGGCAUGAACACACGGAAAUUGGGGAAGAUGAAAUUUGAAGAAGCAAAUAUUGAAAUUAAGCUAAGUGACGAGUUGCCUGGGGCUCUAAGACUUUUAAAGCCAGAAGGACAUUUAAUGGUAGACAGAUUCAAGAGUUUACAGAAAAGAAAUGUGAUAGAGCCAAGACUAGAAGCCAGCAAGAAGCAGAAAUAUAAACCGAAGACAUUCAUGAAAAAAGGAUACGAAACUGAGGAGGAGUAAGAUUCCUGAAAAUUUUCCUAAUCAUACUAUUGUAAAAAUGGAUAAAAAAUAAGAUGCAGAAGAGAUGAAACGAAAAAAAUUAUAGUAACAAAAUAAAAGAAAAAUAGAAAGAAA